rnacentral:rRNA from 1 species
CCUACGGGUGGCUGCAGUGGGGAACAUUGGACAAUGGGCGAAAGCCUGAUCCAGCCAUGCCGCGUGUGUGAAGAAGGCCUUCGGGUUGUAAAGCACUUUCAGUGGGGAAGAAAGCCUUGGGGCUAAUACCCUCGAGGAAGGACAUCACCCACAGAAGAAGCACCGGCUAACUCCGUGCCAGCAGCCGCGGUAAUACGGAGGGUGCGAGCGUUAAUCGGAAUUACUGGGCGUAAAGCGCGCGUAGGCGGUCUGAUAAGCCGGUUGUGAAAGCCCCGGGCUCAACCUGGGAACGGCAUCCGGAACUGUCAGGCUAGAGUGCAGGAGAGGAAGGUAGAAUUCCCGGUGUAGCGGUGAAAUGCGUAGAGAUCGGGAGGAAUACCAGUGGCGAAGGCGGCCUUCUGGACUGACACUGACGCUGAGGUGCGAAAGCGUGGGUAGCAAACAGGAUUAGAUACCCGGGUAGUC